GUCUGGUUAUGGAGAUGGGGGGAAUUUUCAGUGAUCUCUGCACACAGGGCCCUCUGAUGAGGGGUGCUGUGCUGGCUCAGGACUGAAAUGCAGCAUGACUUAAAAGCCCUGGACUCUGACCUGGAUAAUAAAAACAACCUGCUUGCUGGAGUCUGACUAAUCUCCCCCACACUGAAAUUCCCAGUAAAACUGAAACACAUUGGCUCUGGAAGGAAUGGAUGUGACUCAGGUUUCAGGCAAACCAAGUGUUUGGGCAGAGGGCAUCCCAGGC